ensembl:lncRNA
AUGGCCGGAGGGCGGGGCCGGACGCCCGGGCAGUGGUCACGUGAUGUGGGGGCGCAGGGGGCGAGGGAAAGGUCGUCCCUCUGCGCAAGGUCUCAGUGCGCUGUCUCCGUGCAGAUUAGGGCAUGUGGAGUUAGCUCCGACUUGUGGACUGUGAAAGCGCGUAGUUCCAUUACCUGCCUGCGGAGCAAGGCUGUUUGGGACGUUGAAAGACGGUACUAACGCAGUGUUCUCUUCGGGUGCUGAAUUUGGAACACAGUCUUACUCUGAGAUGUGACCGGGCAGCUCUGGUAAUACUUUUAUAGCAAGUACCAGUCAAUAGCUAGAUUGAAUACAUGUUGCUUGUUAGAUCUUGGGUACUCAGGUGCUUCUGCCUUUUGAUUCAGCAAAUAUUCCUGAGUCGCAUGCACUGUGCAGCCUGCAGUAUACCCGGGCAUACACAGGAAGCCUGGUAAAUAGAGGGUUUGGAGAAUGAGAUCCUGGUAGGAUAGAAGUGCAGCAGGGGGGUAAGAUGGGAGACCAUGAGGAAAGGUGGCAUUUCUCCUGGAAGCGCUAGAGGUAAGGGGGAAAGGGAGGAGGUUCUGUGGAGUGGUGCUGGGGAGGAAUUCCAGUUCUGUUUUGAUAAGGAAAGAACUAAUCAGUGAAGUGUUUUUUUAAUGCCCGGCCGGGGGCGGGCGGGGUGGGGCUAGGCCAAUGACUAUCCCCAACCUCCUACAAGAGGAGCUUAGUGUUUUAGGCCCCUUGGAGCCUACAGGAUUGUAGUUAGAUUUCGUUACAUCACUUGUCUCUCUGCUGUUGAAAUGCAAUCACACUGACAUUAAGAGAAUGGUUAUUUCCCCAGGCCCCACGGUGCACAGAGGAAACUGGGAUUAGGCGACGGUAGUGUGGUAUGUCUCUCGGCUUCAUCUUUAACUAGCUGGUUGAUCUGGUAUAGGGCAUUUUUCUCCUGCUCUUCCUCCUACAGAUGUGGUGCAGAUUAAACACCACUACUAAUUAUUAAUGGAUAAUUUUUUUUUUGCUUUUUUUUUUAGGGCCUUACCUGUGGCAUAUGGAAGUUCCCAGGCUAGGGGUCAAAUUAGACCUGCAGCUGCCAGCCUAGGCUGCAGCCACAGCAAUGCUGGAUCCCAGCCAUGUCUGUGACCACAGCUCAAGGCAAGAAUGGAUCCUUAACCCACUGUGCCAGGCCAGGGGUAGAACCCGCAUCUUCUUGCCACUGAGCACAACAGGAACUCCCGUUAAUGGAUAUUUAGAGAUGCCAUAAAAUUGUGUAAACACUCUGUAUGGUACAAUGUCAUUAUGCAUUUGUCCAAAUCAGUAGAAUGUGCUAUACCAGGAAUGAAUCUGAAUGUAAACAGUGGACUUGGGUGAUAAUGAUGUGUCCAUGUAGAGAUUCAUAGAUUGUAACACAUGUCCCACUCUGGUGCCGGAUGUGGACGGUGGUGGAGAUUGGUGCACUGCAGGGCAUAAGGAAACUCUACUUUCUGCCUAAUUCUGCUGUGAACGUAAAACUGCCCUAAAAGAAUUCAUUAAUAAAAAUGUAAAAAAGAUGCUAUAUAUCA